UCGGCCUUGGCCGGGUGGACGUCGCGUUGGAAGCGCGCGACGCGCUCGGCGAGGUCUGGCAUGGUCGUUCCCUUCGGUCGGGCUGACC
rnacentral:tRNA from 1 species